GACGAACGCUGGCGGCGUGCUUAACACAUGCAAGUCGAGCGGUAAGGCCCUUUCGGGGGUACACGAGCGGCGAACGGGUGAGUAACACGUGGGUGACCUGCCCUCAGCUCUGGGAUAAGCCUGGGAAACUGGGUCUAAUACUGGAUAUGACUCCACGGUGCAUGUCGUGGGGUGGAAAGCCUUGUGCGGCUGAGGAUGGGCCCGCGGCCUAUCAGCUUGUUGGUGGGGGA
rnacentral:rRNA from 1 species